rnacentral:tRNA from 1 species
CGCUGCCGGGCGGGCAGCGAGUCGAGCGCACUCGCGAUGUGCUGGUGGACCUCGAGGGCGAGGAUCUCACCCUCGGGGGACGGCCA